rnacentral:rRNA from 1 species
CCUACGGGAGGCAGCAGUCGAGAAUUAUUCACAAUGGGGGAAACCCUGAUGGUGCGACGCCGCGUGGGGGAAUGAAGGUCUUCGGAUUGUAAACCCCUGUCAUGUGGGAGCAAAUUAAAAAGAUAGUACCACAAGAGGAAGAGACGGCUAACUCUGUGCCAGCAGCCGCGGUAAUACAGAGGUCUCAAGCGUUGUUCGGAAUCACUGGGCGUAAGGCGUGCGUAGGCUGUUUCUGAAGGCGUGUGUGAAAGGCGCGGGCUCAACCCGCGGACGGCACAUGAUACUGCGAGACUAGAGUAAUGGAGGGGGAACCGGAAUUCUCGGUGUAGCAGUGAAAUGCGUAGAUAUCGAGAGGAACACUCGUGGCGAAGGCGGGUUCCUGGACAUUAACUGACGCUGAGGCACGAAGGCCAGGGGAGCGAAAGGGAUUAGAUACCCCGGUAGUC